UACGAAGGGGGCUAGCGUUGUUCGGAAUUACUGGGCGUAAAGGGCGCGUAGGCGGCUGUGCAAGUCAGGUGUGAAAGCCCUGGGCUCAACCCAGGAUGUGCACUUGAUACUGCACGGCUAGAGUGUCGGAGAGGAUGGUGGAAUUCCCAGUGUAGAGGUGAAAUUCGUAGAUAUUGGGAAGAACACCGAUGGCGAAGGCAGAUCUCUGGGCCUUACCUGACGCUGAGGAGCGAAAGCUGGGGGAGCGAACAGG
rnacentral:rRNA from 1 species